rnacentral:lncRNA from 1 species
GUGCUAAAAAGAACUCACAGACCACGUGGAGUGGAGCAGAUGGGUCAGUGUCCCAGGUGGCAGCCCGUGUCGGCCUCAGACCUGCACGUGAGGAUGCCCACCAGAGGGUUCCUGCCACCACCGUCAAGUCACCCCAGCCUUAAUCUUCCAGCCGGCGCCUCAGGCAUUAUGGGCAGAGGUCUGAGGGAGCUCUUUCAUCACUUAUACUCUGUGAAGAUA